CCUUCCUGCGGCGGCCACCCGGGGGCUGCAGCGGGCAGCAGCCGGGCUCGGCGCUCCCCCGCCGCCCGCUCCGCACGUGGAUCACAAGCAGACCAGACAAGCCCUGGUGCUAGUGCAAGGGAGGGACACAUUUAUGAAGACAGAGGGAGAGUGUGACUGCAACAGCUACACCUGACAUCAGCUUAAGAGAUGGGCACCCAGCUCCAUCCGUGAGCAUCACCUGGAGUUCAUCAGCAGAAGGUCACUCAGGCUGGCACAGGGUUGCCUGUGCAUGACUUUGCUUCUCCAUGUGAAAUGGAAUCAUUCAUCUGGUGGACAAAAGUAAUGCUGCUGCUCUGAGAGAUUUAGACAUACACCAAGUGCAUUAAAUGAACAGAUAAAUGUGACAAGACUUGCAAUACUACUAGCCAAAAUCAUUAUAUCACAAAAUUCUUAGCACCAAAGUUUUUUUAAAUUAUCAGCAUCUUGUCAAUAAAUAAUGGCAUGUGAAGGUCUUAUUAAAAGAAAAGUUUGUGUUUGUAUGGUUAUAGAGAAAAU